UACAGAGGUCCCGAGCGUUGUUCGGAUUCACUGGGCGUAAAGGGUGCGUAGGUGGCUUGAAAAGUUUGAUGUGAAAGCUCAGGGCUUAACCCUGAAAUGGCAUUGAAUACUGUCGAGCUGGAGGUUUGGAGGGGGGACUGGAAUUCUUGGUGUAGCAGUGAAAUGCGUAGAUAUCAAGAGGAACACCAGUGGCGAAGGCGAGUCCCUGGACAACACCUGACACUGAGGCACGAAAGCUAGGGGAGCGAACGGG
rnacentral:rRNA from 1 species